CCUACGGGUGGCUGCAGUGGGGAAUAUUGGACAAUGGGCGAAAGCCUGAUCCAGCCAUGCCGCGUGUGUGAAGAAGGCCUUCGGGUUGUAAAGCACUUUCAGUGGGGAAGAAAGCCUUGGGGCUAAUACCCUCGAGGAAGGACAUCACCCGCAGAAGAAGCACCGGCUAACUCCGUGCCAGCAGCCGCGGUAAUACGGAGGGUGCGAGCGUUAAUCGGAAUUACUGGGCGUAAAGCGCGCGUAGGCGGUCUGAUAAGCCGGUUGUGAAAGCCCCGGGCUCAACCUGGGAACGGCAUCCGGAACUGUCAGGCUAGAGUGCAGGAGAGGAAGGUAGAAUUCCCGGUGUAGCAGUGAAAUGCGUAGAGAUCGGGAGGAAUACCAGUGGCGAAGGCGGCCUUCUGGACUGACACUGACGCUGAGGUGCGAAAGCGUGGGUAGCAAACAGGAUUAGAUACCCCGGUAGUC
rnacentral:rRNA from 1 species